CCAAUAGCGUAUAUUAAAGUUGUUGCAGUUAAAAAGCUCGUAGUUGAAUUUCGGGGUUCUACCGUUGGUCGGGCUUUGUCUGUACUGGCGUGUAGAAUUUCUACCUUCUGGGGAACCAUUAUGUUAUUAAUUUAGCGUAGUGGGAAACCAGGACCUUUACCUUGAAAAAAUUAGAGUGUUCAAAGCAGGCUUAUGUCUGAAUACAUUAGCAUGGAAUAAUAGAAUAGGACGGUGGUCCUGUUUUGUUGGUUUCUGAAUCACCGUAAUGAUUAAUAGGGAUAGUUGGGUGCAUUAGUAUUCAAUUGUCAGAGGUGAAAUUCUUGGAUUUAUUGAAGACUAACUUCUGCGAAAGCAUUUGCCAAGGAUGUUUUCAUUAAUCAAGAACGAAAGUUAGGGGAUCGAAGACGAUCAGAUACCGUCGUAGUCUUAACCAUAAACUAUGCCGACUAGGGAUCGGACGAUGUUAAUUUUUCUUGACUCGUUCGGCGCCUUACG
rnacentral:rRNA from 1 species